GGUUACUGCUAUCGGUGUUCGCCUAAGCCAUGCGAGUCAUAUGUUCGUAAGAACAUGGCGUACUGCUCAGUAACACGUGGAUAACCUGCCCUUGGGUCCGGCAUAACCCCGGGAAACUGGGGAUAAUUCCGGAUAACGCACAUAUGCUGGAAUGCUUUUUGCGUAAAAUGGAUUCGUCUGCCCAAGGAUGGGUCUGCGGCCUAUCAGGUAGUAGUGGGUGUAAUGUACCUACUAACCUACGACGGGUACGGGUUGUGAGAGCAAGAGCCCGGAGAUGGAUUCUGAGACAUGAAUCCAGGCCCUACGGGGCGCAGCAGGCGCGAAAACUUUACAAUGCGGGAAACCGUGAUAAGGGGACACCGAGUGCCAGCAUCCUAUGCUGGCUGUCCGGGUGUGUAAAAUACACCUGUUAGCAAGGGCCGGGCAAGACCGGUGCCAGCCGCCGCGGUAACACCGGCGGCCCGAGUGGUGAUCGUGAUUAUUGGGUCUAAAGGGUCCGUAGCCGGUUUGGUCAGUCCUCCGGGAAAUCUGACGGCUCAACUGUUAGGCUAUCGGAGGAUACUGCCAGACUUGGAACCGGGUGAGGUAAGAGGUACUACAGGGGUAGGAGUGAAAUCUUGUAAUCCCUGUGGGACCACCUGUGGCGAAGGCGUCUUACCAGAACGGGUUCGACGGUGAGGGACGAAAGCUGGGGGCACGAACCGGAUUAGAUACCCGGGUAGUCC
rnacentral:rRNA from 1 species